AGUGAACGCUGGCGGUAGGCCUAACACAUGCAAGUCGAACGGCAGCACAGUAAGAGCUUGCUCUUACGGGUGGCGAGUGGCGGACGGGUGAGGAAUACAUCGGAAUCUACUUUUUCGUGGGGGAUAACGUAGGGAAACUUACGCUAAUACCGCAUACGACCUACGGGUGAAAGCAGGGAUCUUCGGACCUUUCGCGAUUGAAUGAGCCGAUGUCGGAUUAGCUAGUUGGCGGGGUAAAGGCCCACCAAGGCGACGAUCCGUAGCUGGUCUGAGAGGAUGAUCAGCCACACUGGAACUGAGACACGGUCCAGACUCCUACGGGAGGCAGCAGUGGGGAAUAUUGGACAAUGGGCGCAAGCCUGAUCCAGCCAUACCGCGUGGGUGAAGAAGGCCUUCGGGUUGUAAAGCCCUUUUGUUGGGAAAGAAAAGCAGCAGGUUAAUACCCCGCUGUUCUGACGGUACCCAAAGAAUAAGCACCGGCUAACUUCGUG
rnacentral:rRNA from 1 species